rnacentral:rRNA from 1 species
CCCACGCCGAAAGACCAAGGUUUCCUGCGCAACGUUAAUCGACGCAGGGUUAGUCGGUCCCUAAGGCGAGGCUGAAAAGCGUAGUCGAUGGAAAACAGGUUAAUAUUCCUGUACUUCUGGUUAUUGCGAUGGAGGGACGGAGAAGGCUAGGCCAGCUUGGCGUUGGUUGUCCAAGUUUAAGGUGGUAGGCUGAGAUCUUAGGUAAAUCCGGGAUCUUAAGGCCGAGAGCUGAUGACGAGUUACCCUUUGGGUGACGAAGUGGUUGAUGCCAUGCUUCCAAGAAAAGCUUCUAAGCUUCAGGUAACCAGGAACCGUACCCCAAACCGACACAGGUGGUUGGGUAGAGAAUACCAAGGCGCUUGAGAGAACUCGGGUGAAGGAACUAGGCAAAAUGGCACCGUAACUUCGGGAGAAGGUGCGCCGGUGAGGGUGAAGGACUUGCUCCGUAAGCUCAUGCCGGUCGAAGAUACCAGGCCGCUGCGACUGUUUAUUAAAAACACAGCACUCUGCAAACACGAAAGUGGACGUAUAGGGUGUGACGCCUGCCCGGUGCCGGAAGGUUAAUUGAUGGGGUUAGCUAACGCGAAGCUCUUGAUCGAAGCCCCGGUAAACGGCGGCCGUAACUAUAACGGUCCUAAGGUAGCGAAAUUCCUUGUCGGGUAAGUUCCGACCUGCACGAAUGGCGUAACGAUGGCGGCGCUGUCUCCACCCGAGACUCAGUGAAAUUGAAAUCGCUGUGAAGAUGCAGUGUAUCCGCGGCUAGACGGAAAGACCCCGUGAACCUUUACUAUAGCUUUGCACUGGACUUUGAAUUUGCUUGUGUAGGAUAGGUGGGAGGCUUUGAAGCGUGGACGCCAGUUCGCGUGGAGCCAUCCUUGAAAUACCACCCUGGCAACUUUGAGGUUCUAACUCAGGUCCGUUAUCCGGAUCGAGGACAGUGUAUGGUGGGUAGUUUGACUGGGGCGGUCUCCUCCUAAAGAGUAACGGAGGAGUACGAAGGUGCGCUCAGACCGGUCGGAAAUCGGUCGUAGAGUAUAAAGGCAAAAGCGCGCUUGACUGCGAGACAGACACGUCGAGCAGGUACGAAAGUAGGUCUUAGUGAUCCGGUGGUUCUGUAUGGAAGGGCCAUCGCUCAACGGAUAAAAGGUACUCCGGGGAUAACAGGCUGAUACCGCCCAAGAGUUCAUAUCGACGGCGGUGUUUGGCACCUCGAUGUCGGCUCAUCACAUCCUGGGGCUGAAGCCGGUCCCAAGGGUAUGGCUGUUCGCCAUUUAAAGUGGUACGCGAGCUGGGUUUAGAACGUCGUGAGACAGUUCGGUCCCUAUCUGCCGUGGACGUUUGAGAUUUGAGAGGGGCUGCUCCUAGUACGAGAGGACCGGAGUGGACGAACCUCUGGUGUUCCGGUUGUCACGCCAGUGGCAUUGCCGGGUAGCUAUGUUCGGGAAAGAUAACCGCUGAAAGCAUCUAAGCGGGAAACUUGCCUCAAGAUGAGAUCUCACUGGAACCUUGA